rnacentral:miRNA from 1 species
UUGGAUUUUAAGUUCCAUCGCU